AUGAGGGACUUUGCACAGCCAGGAGAACGUGAAGGAAGCUGCUAGACUAGAGAAGUAGAAAACGAAAGUGUCAGGGAGUGGGAGAACACAGGCUUGACUUAUUUCCAGGUUUGGUCAAAGACCUCCUGGUGGAGUCUUGGGAAUGCAGAGCAAACUCCCCUUGGCUCCUAGGGCAGCGCCUGGUGACCAACCAUCCCAAUUUUCCUGGGACUGAAGGGUCCAUGGGAUGCUAGACUUGCAGUGCUAAAACCAAGGUGAAGCAAAAGAUGUUCAGAGAGACCAGAUGACUUGGCCAAGUUUACAUAAAAGAUCAGGUCUUUGAAUCUAGGUAUGUCUGUUGUUAUAACCCUUGCUCUUGACUACAGGGUACAAAACCAUGGGUAAGGUUUAUUGUGUCCUGCUGGACACAGCUAGAGAAAGCCUGGCAGAAACAGCAGAGAUCACUUCCUCAAUUUCUGGUUGUUGAGUGACAGCAUUCACUUUCAAGUGACAGGGUUAGAGAACAUAAAGGAUGGAUGAGACUGGGGGUUAUUGGCUUAUUGGAGGCCAUCACAGAACAGGUGUCCAACACUCGGAUUUUUUCUGCCCCUGGCAGAAUAGCAACAGUGCAACCAGUACCGUGUUGGGGCCAAGUCACAUUCUACCAUCAGGCAGAGAAUAGACAUCACGGUGUCCCAUAGGAUAGUCCCAUGGUGUGCUUGUUAGAAGCAUGACCCCUUAGGUAUUUAGUGAGGCAGUUAAGAUGCCACUUGCCACAUUCACAUCACGUAUCAGAGUGCCUGAGUUCAAGUCCAAAUUCAUUUCUGAUUCCAGCUCUCUGCUG